CCUACGGUGGGCUGCAGUGAGGAAUAUUGGUCAAUGGACGAGAGUCUGAACCCGCCAAGUAGCGUGAAGGAUGACUGCCCUAUGGGUUGUAAACUUCUUUUAUAUGGGAAUAAAAUGUUCCACGUGUGGGUUUUUGUAUGUACCAUAUGAAUAAGAAUCGGCUAACUCCGUGCCAGCAGCCUCGGUAAUACGGAGGAUCCGAGCGUUAUCCGGAUUUAUUGGGUUUAAAGGGAGCGUAGGUGGAUUGUUAAGUCAGUUGUGAAAGUUUGCGGCUCAACCGUAAAAUUGCAGUCGAAACUGGCAGUCUUGAGUACAGUAGAGGUGGGCGGAAUUCGUGGUGUAGCGGUGAAAUGCUUAGAUAUCACGAAGAACUCCGAUUGCGAAGGCAGCUCACUGGACUGCAACUGACACUGAGGCUCGAAAGUGUGGGUAUCAAACAGGAUUAGAUACCCUGGUAGUC
rnacentral:rRNA from 1 species